AAAUAAGAAGCAAAAAAAUUGCCUUUAGUUUCGACCUAAAAAUUUGAUUAAUAAUAAUCCUUAUUUU
rnacentral:tRNA from 1 species